rnacentral:tRNA from 53 species
UGGGCUAUCGCCAAGCGGUAAGGCACCGGCUUUUGAUGCCGGCAUUCCCUGGUUCGAAUCCAGGUAGCCCAGCCA